CUGUUCGGCGGCGCUCCCAUGGCGCACAUUACCAUUAACCAGUACCUGCAGCAGGUGUACGAAGCCAUCGACACCAGAGAUGGAGCAUCUUGUGCAGAGUUGGUGUCUUUUAAACAUCCUCAUGUUGCAAACCCACGACUUCAAAUGGCCUCUCCAGAGGAGAAGUGUCAACAAGUCUUGGAACCCCCUUAUGAUGAAAUGUUUGCAGCUCAUUUAAGGUGCACUUACGCAGUGGGGAAUCAUGACUUCAUAGAGGCUUACAAGUGCCAGACCGUGAUAGUCCAGUCAUUCUUGCGAGCAUUCCAGGCCCACAAAGAAGAAAACUGGGCUCUGCCUGUCAUGUAUGCAGUAGCGCUUGACCUUCGAGUGUUUGCCAAUAAUGCAGAUCAGCAGUUGGUAAAGAAAGGAAAAAGCAAAGUUGGGGACAUGUUGGAAAAAGCAGCAGAGUUACUGAUGAGCUGUUUCCGGGUCUGUGCCAGUGACACGUGAGUAAGGACUUGAGGACCGACCACCAAACGCUGUUGGUGGUGUUUUCUUGCAGCGUUCACCCUUUCUGGCCUGUGUUUAUUGUUGACACAUAUUUCACUUCUACACGUUAAAAUCCCACAACCAUCAUUAUUUUUGCUUUAAAAAGUUGAUUGUUUUGUAAAG
rnacentral:sRNA from 1 species